UCCCUGAGAUAUCUACAAAUUUUUUCUCAUUCUUGCCGCCAUCAUGCUCUAAGGCAGAUAAGGUAGCAAAUAGAGAACCCCUUAGCAUUCGCUUGAUUUUUACCUAAAAAUUUGUCCUUCGAACUUAAGUUGUGCCACGAUUACCUCCCAACGAUCAUCCAUGGUCCGUAGGUUUCUAAUGCCUCUACUAUUUUAUCCUUCUCCGGUUGAACCUCCACGGUUGCUAUCUCCUUAUAACCAUCGCGGCCCAACUCUAGACCUUUAGAUGGGAAAAGGUCACGUACAUGCCCGUAACGGCUACACGAAAAAUAAACUACUGUGCCCGUUGACUACUCGUAAUGGAGGGUUCAGAUGAAGAGAAAUAUCGGCGUGGAUCGAUGACCUGGAUUAUUGGGAGUUAUUUUUAAGGUGAUAGGUAUCAAAACAGCAAAUACUUUAUAAUUUUCAGAAAAUACUUUAUACCAAAUGCAUUUUCUAUAUAAUUUUGAUUUCUCUGGUUUGUUGGUUGAA